rnacentral:tRNA from 1 species
CGAAACAUAGCUUAACUUAAAGCAUUUCGCUUACACCGAAAAAAUGUCUACUAAAUCCAGACUGUUUCGA